GAUGAACGCUGGCGGCAUGCCUAAUACAUGCAAGUCGAGCGAAGCGGGGACGGGUGAGUAACACGUGGAUAACCUCCUAUAAGACUGGGAUAACUUCGGGAAACCGGAGCUAAACCGGAUACUUCUAGUUAGAUCAGCGCUGCAUUAGCUAGUUGGUAAGGUAACGGCUUACAAAGGAAACGAUGCAUAGCAGACCUGAGAGGGUGAUCGGCCACACUGGAACUGAGACACGGUCCAGACUCCUACGGGAGGCAGCAGUAGGGAAUAUUCCGCAAUGGGCGAAAGCCUGACGGAGCAACGCCGCGUGAGUGAUGAAGGUCUUCGGAUCGUAAAACUCUUUUAUUAGGGAGGCGGGACCUAAUCAGAAAGCCACGGCUAACUACGUGCCAGCAGCCGCGGUAAUUC
rnacentral:rRNA from 1 species